rnacentral:rRNA from 1 species
GGAUUCCCCUAGUAACGGCGAGCGAACCGGGAAGAGCUCAAAUUUGUAAUCUGGCGUCCUCCGGGCGUCCGAGUUGUAAUCUACAGGAUCGUUUUCCGCGCCGGACCGUGUCCAAGUCCCUUGGAAUAGGGUAUCAAAGAGGGUGACAGUCCCGUACUUGACACGACGACCGGUGCUAUGUGACACGUCUCCCACGAGUCGAGGUGUUUGUUAAUGCAGCUCACAACGGGCGGUAUAUUCCAUCUAAGGCUAAUUAUUGGCGAGAGACCGAUAGCGAACAAGUACCGUGAGGACAGAUGGAAAAGCUCUUUGCAAAGAGAGUUAAACAGU